CAGGCCUAACACAUGCAAGUCGAGCGGUAACAGAAAGAAAGCUUGCUUUCUUUGCUGACGAGCGGCGGACGGGUGAGUAAUGCCUGGGAAUAUGCCUUAGUGUGGGGGAUAACUAUUGGAAACGAUAGCUAAUACCGCAUAACGUCUUCGGACCAAAGAGGGGGACCUUCGGGCCUCUCGCGCUAAGAUUAGCCCAGGUGGGAUUAGCUAGUUGGUGAGGUAAAGGCUCACCAAGGCAACGAUCCCUAGCUGGUCUGAGAGGAUGAUCAGCCACACUGGAACUGAGACACGGUCCAGACUCCUACGGGAGGCAGCAGUGGGGAAUAUUGCACAAUGGGGGAAACCCUGAUGCAGCCAUGCCGCGUGUAUGAAGAAGGCCUUCGGGUUGUAAAGUACUUUCAGUCGUGAGGAAGGCAUUGUAGUUAAUAGCUGCAGUGCUUGACGUUAGCGACAGAAGAAGCACCGGCUAACUCCGUG
rnacentral:rRNA from 1 species